UAGGCCACACUGGGUGCCAGGC
rnacentral:piRNA from 1 species